AUUUCCUGCUCUGCUUCUGUAAGUUUGACUAUUUUCGAUUCCUCACAUAAGUGGCAUCAGUUAUUAUUUGUUUUCUGGCUCUCAAUUAUUUCACUUGAUGAAUGUACUCCAGGUUCAUUCAUGUUACUGAAAACGGCAGAAUUCCUCUCCUGUCCCCUGCCCUCACCAUUGAGGACCUAAAGGAUAAUGAAAGGGGGGAAUCUGUGCCCUAAAUAAUCCCUUUUGGCAGUUACUUUCUGUUUUCAAAGUUCAGCUCUCCCUCUCCCUCUCCCUCUCCCUCUCCCUCUCCCUCUCUCUCUCCCUCUCUCUCCACGGUCUCCCUCUCCCUCUCCCUCUCUCUCCACGGUCUCCCUCUCCCUCUCGCUCUCUCUCCACGGUCUCCCUCUCCCUCUCCCUCUCUCUCCACGGUCUCCCUCUCCCUCUCCCUCUCUCUCCACGGUCUCCUUCUGUUGCCGAGCCAAGGCUGGACUGUACUGCCGCCAUCUCCGCUCACUGCAACCUCCCUGCCUGAUUCUCCUGCCUCAGCCUGCCUGGGAUUGCAGGCGCGCGCCGCCAUGCCUGACUGGUUUUUGCUGGAGUGCAGUGGCGUGAUCUCGGCUCGCUACAACCUCCACCUCCCAGCCGCCUGCCUUGGCCUCCCAAAGUGCUGAGAUUGCAGCUUCUGCCCGGCUGCCACCCCAUCUGGGAAGUGAGGAGCGUCUCUGCCUGGCCGCCUAUCGUCUGGGAAGUGAGGAGCGCCUCUUCCCGGCCGCCAUCCCGUCUGGGAAGUGACCAGCGUCUCUGCCCGGCCGCCCAUCGUCUGAGAUGUGGGGAGCGCCUCUGCCCCGCCGCCCCGUCUGGGAUGUGAGGAGCGCCUCUGCCCGGUCGCGACCCCGUCUGGGAACUGAGGAGUGUCUCUGCCCGACCGUCACCCCGUCUGGGAGAAAUUCGACAGGGAAGAAAAGCAAGUCACCAGGGACUGUAUCCUUGAUUAGUGGCUGCGAUCCUGCAACACACUUCAUCCUGCCCAAUCCCCAUCGAUGUUGGCAUUUUCCUACUCAAUUGAUGUCCUCAUAUUUUCCCUGCUCCAUCUACACACCAUAUAUUUCCUCAGGUGCUACAAACAAGUUCCAAACUUUAUUGGACAGGGGAAGAAGUAGAAGAAACAAGAAGUAUUAUUAAAAUGAAUGGAGUUAAAAUGGGACAGAGGUGAGAAGAAGGAGCUAGAAAACUUUAAAUAAAAUGCACCUACAGCUAAGGAAAUAGACAAGCCUUUCUGAUGGCUCUCAUGGCUCUGCGUUUACAUACUACAGAUUCCUCCUGGAUGAAACAGAAGCCGGGCUGCUGAUGCAGCUGGAGGAGGAAGCGAGAGGUUCCAACGGCAUGACUCCUUGGCAUUUCACACAUCCAUAGAAAUAACCCAUCUAUGAUUUCCACAAGACAAUUUUUUCUUAGUCCCCACUUUUCAGUGUAUGCUCAAACACAAUGCAGAAUCCCAAGAAACUGUGAAACUUUUCUGAGAAAAUGUUCUGAUUUGAAUUAGUUAGCUGUAUUCUGCAUUCAGCACAUUUACAAGCUUUGAAAUAUCGGACAUUGGCAAGCAAGCACUAACAUUUUAUAAGUAGCAGUUUGCAUCCAGGUUUGAGGUAAUGUAAUCCAACAUGCACGAGAACACAGUCUAGGUCCCCUUCUCCCUUCUAAGCAUAGCAGAAGGAUUAGGAAUAAUGAAUGGUGUGAAUUUUGCCACCUAGAGGGUUUCAUUUUGAUACCUGUUACACAGUCCUCUUGAGCACUGUGCUCAUUUUUCCUAUUGCUGAGAUAUGGAAAAUAAAACAGUAAUAGGAACGUGCACUGACAACACACCAUGUCAAUGCCCUAAAACGCAAAGUCUUGGAGAGGGUUCCAUAAUGGCUUCAGUAGAAGCAUAGCUCAUUCCCUGCUUUGCUAAUCAAUUUUCUGCAUGCCAUGUUCUCCCCGUUAUACCUCAUCCCUUAGGCUACUCUUGUAGCCCAAGUCAACCACACAGGUGAUAUACACCGGUGGAAUAGGUCAGGGCAAUUUCUUGAGGCACUGGAGGGGGAAAACCUGGGGUCUCUCCUCAGCCCUCCAAUGUGUCCAUAAUGCUCCUCAUGUGCCACAGGCUCCGUGCCACCAUGGAAUUUGAUCUGGAAGUCUAGAGCCCUUUUCAGGGAGUUGUUUAAGCCUUUAGUCCUUGUUUCUUCACUCUUAGUGUAAUUCUGUGUCAUUUUAGAGCCAGAAACACUGUUGUAACAGUCAAAUGUAGUAAUUAAGACUGUAGUAUCAGAUCACUGGCUUUUCAAUCUUUUUCUAAAAGGCUCUAUGAUCUCAGGCAAAUUUACUGAACUCUUCUUGCUGUAAUAUGGGGAGACAGUGGCCCUCACUUCAUAGAUUGUAGUGAGAUUAAAUAAGUUAAUAUAUGUAAAGCUUUAAUAAAGUACUUAGCAAAUAGUAUAUACAGUACUAUGCAAGUUUUAGCUAUAAAAUGACAAUAACAUUUCACAUAAAAAGGUUACUAUUAAUUGUUACUACCAUUUCCUAAUUAUUGAUUUAUGUAAUAAGCUAUGCCCCAAACCUACCAGGUUUAACUCUUGGUAUUCAGUGUGAACUGAAUUAUAUUCCCCUCAAAUUCAUUUAUUGAAACACUAAUGUGCUGGCAUUAGAAGGCAAGGCAUUUGGGAGGUAAUUAGGUCAUGAAGGUAGAAUCCUCAUGAUGGGAUUAAUGCCCUUAUUAGAACAGACUGAAGAGAAAUUUUACUCUGCCAUGAGAGACACAUAAAAAAAAAAAAAAAAGAUGAAGUCUACAAGCCAGGAAGCAAGCUCCCACCAAGAACUGAAUCAGCCAGCACCUUGUUCUUGAAUUUCCCAGCCUCCAGAACUGUGAGAAAUAAAUAUUAGUAGUUCAAGUCACCCAGACGGUGAUAUUUUUUGAUAUUUUGUGACAGCAGCCCAUACAAACCAAGGCUAUCUUCAAGCAAACAAUUUAGAAGUUCACAAUUUUUUUUCUGUCAAAUAUGUGGUGUUCGCAAAUUGAAAGCAUCUUGGAUUUCAGAACAGGCGAUAUCUUCACCAUGCGCACAAUGAAAUCAAUACUCAGAGAAGGCAGAUAAUUCUCCACGAAGCCAGAAAACUAAUAAAUGAACAGUUGAUUCCAUUAUUACCAUCCCUGCAAUACCACUCCUUAACACCUUUCUACUUAGACAUGAAAAUCUAUGGCUUUACCAAAAAAACUUGGGUGAAAUGUCCCACCAGACGGUGUGAUAUUUAGUAGCCCAGAAAGCUGCCAAGGGGUUGAAUGACACUAUCUGAAGAUAUGAACCAGUUUGCUCUCCAUAGGGAGGAUUUCAUCAACAGGAAACAGAUGCCUGGAAGGCAUUGGAUUUGCUAAGUGUCUAUGCCAUAUGAUUCUGCUGUUUGCGUUUGAUUUAGAAUGCUGAGCUGACUCAAAGUCAAACUUGGCAUAAAACACUUCAAUCACACGUAGCUUUCUGGAGCAACAGACCAUGGGCUGAGGAUUGAGUUUCCGGGAGCCACAGCAAGGCUCUCCAAUGCCAUCUUUCUGUCUCACUGCUGAAAGUCAAGAAUCACAGUGCUGAUCUUCAGAAACUGUGGGUUCAGAAACUCACCUGGUCACUAGAAUUACUCUCCCCACUUUACCUCUGCUACCCCGGAGAUCCCCGAGACCAGUCCCUUUUGGGGAGCCCUUGAUGGCAUCUUCACUAGUAGCCCUUUGGCUCACAUGGGAAUACCCCCAGGGACUCCUCGCAAGAGGGCUAUGAGGGAGGCUUCAUUAUUCUAGUGUUGAAGCCCAGAGUCUCAACCUAAUCAGCGCUUUCCUUCAAGUUCGAGCCUCCAGGAGGAGCCAAGGAGUUUCAACAGCGUUUCAAAGUUCGCAGUUUGUAUUCUGCUGCACCAGAGACAUCAUUGAAUCUUACAGCUGAUGCUACCUUCUUUCCCACACCUGGAUUCACCCAAAGUCCUGGAGAACAGCACAUGGUGGAGAGAAACCCCUAGCCAAUUUUCCCUUCUGAAAGAUAAGAGCAAGACACCUGGGUGAACUGGUGGCUGAGGGACCUCCGCUCCUGGAUACAUGUCCGUAAUCAUUCAUGGAGUGAGAAAAUCGGCCUGUAUGUUACCACUAAAGAAGCUAGUCUGUAAGAAUGUAUUGAUUUAAGUAUAUAUAAAAAUACAUAGAGUAAAUUAUAACUCCCCUAGGCACAAUUUCAUUAUAUACCUUAAAAAAUACAUAGAUGCCACUCACUUCACUGCUAACAAAAAUGACAAUAUCAUUUAUCAUUCCAACCAUGGUACUUUUUUUUUUUUUUUUUUGAGUCAGAGUCUUGCUCUGUUGCCCAGGCUGGAGUGCAGUGGUGCAAUCUUGGCUAACUGCAAUCUCCGCCUCCCGGGUUCAAGCGAUUCUCCUGCCUCAGCCUCCCGAGUAGCUGGGACUACAGGCGUGUGCCACCACGCCCAGAUAAUAAUUUUUUGAAUUUUUAGUAGAGAUGAGGUUUCGCCGUGUUAGCCAGGAUGGUCUCAAUCUCCUGACCUCGUGAUCCGCCUGCCUCGGCCUCCCAAAGUGCUGGGAUUACAGGCAUGAGCCACCACACCCGGCCCCAUGGUAUUUUGACUACAAAAUGAGACACAAUACAUGAAAAAGUGGUCUACUGUGGAUCACUACUCUCAAUGAAAAGAAACAAACUAUUGAUACAUUUGACAAACCAAGACUUUCUCCCCAAAACUGGGCUGUGUGGUCCCCUAACUCUACCUGAUAGGGAAAAGAAAAGUGAGUUGGGAAUGAGGAAAGUAUUUUUUUGGAGGGAGGUUUGUUUUAGGUUGGUUUUUGUUGUUGUUAUGAUUUGACUGUGAUUCCUCCAUAGAGUAAAACACAGUCAGUUCUUGUUGUUUGUGGUUAUUAUGUUCUUUAAAGAACAUAAUUGCUGUGAGCACUGAAUUAGCAAAUACUGAACUGUUGCUCCCACGGGAAAUACAGAGGACGUUCCUUCGAGCCUGUGGUCACACAUUGUCAUAAAACAAUCGAUACACGACCUUGUUUUAUGUGUGUUUCUGUUAAAGGACACCUUGUUUAACAUACAGCAUUGAUUUAUUAACAUUGAAUUCAUGACCAACAGUACUAUAACUAACGCUUGAACAAGGCUUAUCAACACAUCUCUUUUCUUCAUACGGUACAUCAAAGACUUCUUGCACUUAGGAAUACUAGAUGGCACUAUAUCACUGUAGUGAAAUCAGCAGCAAAAAGCACAACAUGAGAAAAAUGUGGCACUAAAUAGAACACACACCAAAAGGACAGUUGUGUACAAUAUGAGAUAUAAAACAGGAGCAAGGCAGAAUGUCGCCUUGUUGAACCUCAUCUGGGAACAUGAACUUUGGGUGACAAUUUUUUCGCUGCUCUCCACAUGUCUGUGAAGGGACAUGAAAUAGCUGUGGCUAUUGAUUUGAGAGUUACAGGUAAUUUUAGGGAGUAGGCAGGUCUGUAAAUAUGAAAUCCAUGAGUAAUGAUGACUGACUGUAGAUUCUUGUCCCUAACUCUUAGGUGUACCUUUAUUUAAAGUUAGGCUCACCAAGUAGAUUUCAAGAGGUCUCUAAGAGUGGAUCUAAAAUGGAGAACAAAUGACCUCAGGAGAUGUAGAUAAAAUAUGUCUCUUCAAACUGGUUUUGCACCAGUAAUGAGACAGUGACGCAAGUCCUCUGUAUCCUCGCUGUGCUUGUUUUUGUCCCUAUUUUCAUCAUUCUGCUAGACGUGCAGUAAUACUUUUCUGUGGUUUUAAUUUGCAUUUCUCUAAUAGUACAGUUUGGCAGUUUUUUAAACAGUUAAAUAUUCAACUGCAUUUAUAUAUGACCCAGCAAUUGUACUCUUUGGCAUUUAUUCCAGGGAAAUGAGAACAAACUUGAACAUUGUGGCACAUCUAUUUAUAAUAACCAAGAACUGGAAAUAAUCAGAUAUCUCUCCAUGGAAAAAUGGUUAUUAAACAAAACAUAGUACAACUUACUAUGGAUCACUACUCCCAAUAAAAAGGAACAAACUGUUGAUGCAUUCAGCAACCUUAAUGAAUCACCAAAGAACUAUCCUAAGUGAAAAUAAAGCCAGUUUCCCAAGAUUAUAUAUGGUAGGAUUCCCUUUAUAUAACAUCCUUGAAAUGAGAAAAUGAUAGAAAUGGAGAAUAGACUAGUGGUUGCCAGGGGGUUAAGGUGGGAAUCCAUGCAGGAAGGAAGUGGCUAUAACGAUAAAAGAGAAACAUGAGGAAUCCUUGCUGUGAUGAAAAUGCUCUGAAUCUUGACUGUAUCUAUGUCAGUAUCUUGGUUAUAAUAUUGUCUUAUGCUUUUGCAAGAUGUUACCAUUGGGGAAUACUAGGCAUAAGCACAUGAGAUCCCUCUCUCGUAGUUCUUACAACUCCGUGUGAAUCUAUGAUUACCUCAGUAUAAAAAGCUUAUUUAUAAAUAAAUGAAGGAAAAAUAAAGACUUUCUCAAACCAGCCAAACUACACACCACACACACACACACACACACACACACACACACACACACACACAGAGUUUUAUUCUUUCCAAGUUUGAACUGAUUCUUAUUCCUUCUUCAGUCAUUCAACAAGCUGUUACCCUUUAAAGAGGCUAAGGAGAGAUUAAUUAGAUAUUAGUUCGUAAGAUACAUUUUUCAAAUUUCUUAAAAUAUAUGUACAUGUACAAUUUAGUGAAAGCAAAAAAAACUUUGAUAGUAAUAAUAUUGAAGAUCCAAAUCUGUAUUAAGUCAAAUAUUUAGUGAUAUAAUUUUCAUUUCAAAAUGGUUUUUACAUAAAGUAAAACUGUGUACAAUAAAGUAAAUAAUUUUAAUGCAAUUUAUUCUUUUUUUGGAUGAGGAAACUGAGGCUCCCUUCUUAUGUGGAAAAAUGGUUGGCAUUGCCAUUAGUGCAGAGUUGAUUGGGGCUAAAUUGAUGCACUCUUUGGACCAUAAAGUCAAGAGCAGAUAUGUAAAACCACGAUGUGUCAUUAUGGAUGAUCCAGUUUCUUUUUAAAUCAGAAUCUCUGGGGCAUGAACAAAGUCUUUAUAUAAGGUACUAUUCUGUCUUAUGGGCUCUCUCUAUAUGAUUUUUCUAUAUAUGCAGAUAUAUAAGGAAAGGGCUGACAAUAAUCAUGUAGGAUACAUAAAAUAUUAUUUUCUUUCUGAAAGGAAAGGGAAUGGGCCUCCUCUGGUUAAAAUUUAUAUUAGAUUUCGUAGACUGCUAGGGCUGCCAUCACAAAGUACCACAGACAGGGACACUUAAAGAAAAGAAAUAUAUUGUCUCACGGUUCUGGAGGCUACAAGUCAAAGAUCAAGGAGUCAGUGGGAUUGGUUGCUUCUGAGGCUGUGAGGGGCAAUCUGUUUCAUGCCUCUCUCCUAACUCUGGUUAUUUGCCGGCCAUUUUUGGUGUCCCUUGGCUUAUAGAAUCAUUGCUCCAAUCCCUGACUUACCUUCACGUGUUGUUCUUCCUGUGUGAGUCUGUCUUUGUGUUCAAAUUGCUUCCUUUAAUAAGGACACCAGUCAUACUGGAUUAGGGUCCCACCCUCAUCCGUGAAGUAUGACCUCAUACUAACUAAUUACAUCUUCAAUGACCCUAUUUCCAAAUAUGACCACAGACUGAGGCACUGCAGGUUAAGGCUUCAACAUAAGAAUUUUGGGGGACACAAUUCAACUCAUAACAGAUUUUCUCUCUCAUUCUUACCCCAUGGAUAGGAUAUAACAGACAAAGCCCUCUUUAGGUUAUCAAAUAAAUUGUGCCCAAGAUGCAAUGGGCGAAAAGUGUCCUAAGCAACAUAAAGAUAAGCAGCCAUUGUAAUAGAUAUAUUUUUGGCCUUAUUUUAUCUAAAUCAAAAGAUUAAAAGUAAAACUCUGAAUGCACUAUAUUUGCAAAAUGUUUACAAUUAGCCCCAUAAUUUUCUUUUGCAUUAAUAUUAGAAGAAAACUAAACAUUUUCUAAAACUUAUUACUUUCUGAAUGUUUUGAACGUGCUGAUGUAAAUUUUUCAACUCUAAGUGUAGGUGAC
rnacentral:lncRNA from 1 species